rnacentral:rRNA from 1 species
CAGCCGCCACGGUAAUACAGAGGAUGCGAGCGUUAAUCGGAUUUACUGGGCGUAAAGCGUGCGUAGGCGGCUUCUUAAGUCGGAUGUGAAAUCCCUGAGCUUAACUUAGGAAUUGCAUUCGAUACUGGGAAGCUAGAGUAUGGGAGAGGAUGGUAGAAUUCCAGGUGUAGCGGUGAAAUGCGUAGAGAUCUGGAGGAAUACCGAUGGCGAAGGCAGCCAUCUGGCCUAAUACUGACGCUGAGGUACGAAAGCAUGGGGAGCAAACAGGAUUAGAUACCCCAGUAGUCCCUGUCUCUUAUAC